GUUUUCCUGUAAUGAUGGAUUCAAGGAACAUUUGGCCAAAAAACAAAGAUCAGAAAUGCUGUACCAGAAAAGACUGGGGUGGACCUCUUUCUUAAUGUCCAGUGUCCUGUGUCUUAAGAUUUGGUGCAAUAUUG
rnacentral:snoRNA from 1 species